AAUCAAGGCGUUCUCCACGUUCUGAAACCUUAGAAAUGUUUUCACGCAUAAUCCCCACAGUAUCGUCAAUCUGCUGCUGAAUUGCAGCUGUCUUCAUAUUCGGCGUCGACGAAGCAGCAGCAUUUCCACUACGAACAGCUGCAGAAGGCUCCGCCGGGAUAUAUGGGUCAUAUGGCUCAGACAUGGUCGUAUGUGUUAGUUGGUGGAGGAUUUAUUUUUGCGCUCGGUUGGAGUUGAUGUGUAC